UACGUAGGGGGCAAGCGUUGUCCGGAAUCAUUGGGCGUAAAGAGCGUGUAGGCGGCUUGGCAAGUCUGGUGUGAAAUCUUGCGGCUCAACCGCAAGCGGUCACUGGAAACUGCCUCGCUAGAGUCCGGAAGAGGAGAGCGGAAUUCCUGGUGUAGCGGUGAAAUGCGCAGAUAUCGGGAGGAACACCAGUAGCGAAGGCGGCACUCUGGGCCGGUACUGACGCUGAGGAGCGAAAGCGUGGGAGCAA
rnacentral:rRNA from 1 species